GCCGCGGUAGCUCAAUAGGUAAAGCAUCGCACUCAUAACGCGAAGACGUGGGAUCGUUCCCCACCUGCGGCA